rnacentral:tRNA from 1 species
UAAAGGAGACCUACCCGCUCAGAUAUUGAAAACAGUUUGUGAUUAGAUAUUGAGUUGGUCAUCCUAAAGGUCGGUCGCGACAGUUGUAUAUUACUUUCAAACUAUAUUUUGGUUCGUAUGGGCUAUUAGCUCAGGUGGUUAGAGCGCACCCCUGAUAAGGGUGAGGUCCCUGGUUCGAGUCCAGGAUGGCCCACCUGAAAACAGUGAGCAGUGAACAGUAAACAGUGAUCAAGGAAAAAACUGAUAACUGGUAACUGAUAACUGACAUCUGAAUUUUGGGGGUUUAGCUCAGUUGGUAGAGCGCCUGCUUUGCAAGCAGGAUGUCAGCGGUCCGAGUCCGCUAACCUCCACCAGUAAAGUAAAAGUGGUAAAGAAUUCAGCAACUGAGCAAUAUUUGCCAGACUGCUGGAUAUACUUCCAGCAAUUGAACCUUGAAAACUGCAUAGUGAUAGCGAAUAAGCAGGCAGACACAGACACUCAGAUAAUUUGAGUUGUGUUUGCAUUGAUUGAUAACCAAUUGUUGAAGU